ACCAAUUUUUACAUGUAGGAACACAGCAUCGACGUGCAGUGGGUGGUCCUAGUAGGGGUCUUGUUUUGGAAAAAUAUGUGCAUACACACAAUGAAAAAUUCAAGGUACAGAUAUUUCGAGAUCAUCCGGUUGGCACAGAGGCUAGUAUCGUCGCAAAUGAGAUCAGUUUGUAUAUGUGAAAUUAUUUUUCAUGGGCUGCUGAAAGUUUCAAGCAUGUAGCUCCUCGAUACCGUGAUGCUCUAGUCUCUCACAUCAAGGAUAAUAUUGACUUCGAGGAUUGCACCGACGAAGAAGUGACGGCAUGUAUUCUCAAAAUGGCUGUAAAUAGAUACAGAGAUCGGCGAUGUAGGCUUCAUAAAUACUGCAAUGAGCUGCAGGCGAAGGAGAUUAAUUCUGUGACCCAGCCAUACAGAAAUUGGGCUGGAUCUAGUGACGAUUGGCGGUGGUUAUGUGAGCAUUUUGGAAGUGAGGCAUUUCAGGUGAAUAGGAGUAAGAUUGAUUCUAUUCACACGCAAGGAAGUGCCUCUUUUACACAGGGAAUGAAG